CCGAAGUAGCGUGCAGGAUGACGGCCCUAUGGGUUGUAAACUGCUUUUAUGUGGGGAUAAAGUGCGUGACGUGUCAUGCAUUGCAGGUACCACAUGAAUAAGGACCGGCUAAUUCCGUGCCAGCAGCCGCGGUAAUACGGAAGGUCCGGGCGUUAUCCGGAUUUAUUGGGUUUAAAGGGAGCGUAGGCUGUCUAUUAAGCGUGUUGUGAAAUAUACCGGCUCAACCGGUGGCUUGCAGCGCGAACUGGUCGACUUGAGUAUGCAGGAAGU
rnacentral:rRNA from 1 species